CAGUGGUUGUAGAAUCGGCGCUGUUUGCUGUGGAUGAAUUCAACAAAGCCAACGCAAACUUGUUUAAUUACACAAUUCUGGACAUAACAUCAGCUAAACUGCAG